rnacentral:rRNA from 1 species
UACGUAGGGGGCAAGCGUUGUCCGGAAUCAUUGGGCGUAAAGAGCGUGUAGGCGGCCCGAUAAGUCCGCUGUGAAAGUCCAGGGCUCAACCCUGGAAUGCCAGUGGAAACUGUCGGGCUAGAGUCCGGAAGAGGCGAGUGGAAUUCCUGGUGUAGCGGUGAAAUGCGCAGAUAUCAGGAAGAACACCCGUGGCUAAGGCGGCUCUCUAGUACGGUACUGACGCUGAGACGCGAAAGCGUGGGGAGCGAACAGG